rnacentral:rRNA from 1 species
AAAAUUUAAAUUUAAAAUACUAAAAUAGUAAAUAAAUAUUUAUUGAAACUUAAAUAAUUUGGCGGUAUUUUAGUUCAUUUAGAGGAAUCUGUUUAAUAAUUGAUAUUCCACGAAUAAAUUUACUUAAUUUAUAAUUUUGUAUAUCGUUGUUGUAAAAAUAUUUUUAAAAAAAAUUAAUAUUUAAAAAUUAAUAAUUAAAAUUAAAUCAGAUCAAGAUGCAGAUUAUAAUUAAGAAUAUAAUGGAUUACAAUAAAUUUAUUUAAAUGGAUUUUAAUUUGUAAAAAUUAAUUGAAGGUGGAUUUAAAUGUAAUUUUAUUUAAUUUAAUAAAAUGAUUAAAAAUUAAAAUAUGU